AUUCACUACAACAACAACAAUACGAGAUAACAAUGGUGUAUUUGACACCAAAUCAGCCACCACAAACUAACAAAGAGAGUAUCAAGAUAACAAGAUGAAGAACAAGAUGAACAAUAACACAAUGGAAACAACAACACACGGUUUUGACUAGAACAACAACAAAGAGUACAAGAAAUGUAAAGAUAGAUAGAUAGACAAAGUGAAGGUAUAAUCUUAAGAACCUAAGAGCC
rnacentral:lncRNA from 1 species